UACGUAGGGUGCGAGCGUUGCUCGGAAUUAUUGGGCGUAAAGGGCUCGUAGGCGGUUUGUCACGUCGGAAGUGAAAACUCAGGGCUUAACCCUGAGCCUGCUUCCGAUACGGGCAGACUAGAGGUAUGCAGGGGAGAACGGAAUUCCUGGUGUAGCGGUGAAAUGCGCAGAUAUCAGGAGGAACACCGGUGGCGAAGGCGGUUCUCUGGGCAUUACCUGACGCUGAGGAGCGAAAGUGUGGGGAGCGAACAGG
rnacentral:rRNA from 1 species